rnacentral:rRNA from 1 species
GUGCCAGCCGCCGCGGUAAUACGGAGGGAGCUAGCGUUGUUCGGAAUUACUGGGCGUAAAGCGCACGUAGGCGGCUUUGUAAGUUAGAGGUGAAAGCCCGGGGCUCAACCCCGGAAUUGCCUUUAAGACUGCAUCGCUUGAAUCCGGGAGAGGUGAGUGGAAUUCCGAGUGUAGAGGUGAAAUUCGUAGAUAUUCGGAAGAACACCAGUGGCGAAGGCGGCUCACUGGACCGGUAUUGACGCUGAGGUGCGAAAGCGUGGGGAGCAAACAGGAUUAGAUACCCCUGUAGUCC